GAACUGUUUAACAUGGCCAUUCCUUGGGUCCGCCUUUUUAGAACAUGCGUAUUUCUUGGUUGUGGUUUUAAUACAUCUUAUCGACUUUAAUUUGGGCUUUGGCUCCUUCUUUCCACAGACGGCACAUGAUGUGAUUCCAAUGGGGUUGUCUUAUGGAGGGCCAGGAGGUGGACUUCAAUGAUCCUUGUAAGUCCUUCCAACUCAGGGUAUUGUGAUUCUAUGUCAAGCAACCAGCAACACCUGUGAUAUUUUUCAGAAUGAGAAAUUUGUAGCUGAAAGAAAACCUGACUGUUGGAAUGAAUUUCAGCUUUCACCUAGAGACCUGAAGAAAACUACUCCUUAUGAAGCAUCUCGCUACUUUCUUUAUAACAUCUUUAUUGUGAUUUCCUUUCUUUUUACACUGAUGUUCUAAAAAAAGCUCUGCCACCAGCUGUAGUGUUGAGAGUAUGUAAACACAAAAUAUAUUAUCUGUAUGUAUCCAGAACACUGAAGCACACAGAAUACUGUGCUUUGAAUCUGCAACUGCUGUGCUAAAACUAAACUGGAACCAAAACUGAACUACUGAAACUAAACUGGAAGAUUUAAUGGAAAAUUACAUUUUGAAAGUUGCCUUUGAAAAACACACUGAAUAAAUAAGCUGUGGUGGUUUCA